AUUGAACGCUGGCGGCAGGCCUAACACAUGCAAGUCGAACGGUAGCACAGAGAGCUUGCUCUCGGGUGACGAGUGGCGGACGGGUGAGUAACGUCUGGGAAACUGCCCGAUGGAGGGGGAUAACUACUGGAAACGGUAGCUAAUACCGCAUAACGUCGCAAGACCAAAGUGGGGGACCUUCGAGCCUCACACCAUCGGAUGUGCCCAGAUGGGAUUAGCUAGUGGGUGGGGUAAUGGCGCACCUAGGCGACGAUCCCUAGCUGGUCUGAGAGGAUGCUCGGCCACACUGGAACGGAGACACGGUCCAGAGGCCUACGGGAGGCAGCAGGGGGGAAUAUUGCACAAUGGGCGCAAGCCUGAUGCAGCCAUGCCGCGUGUAUGAAGAAGGCAUUCGGGUUGUAAAGUACUUUCAGCGGGGAGGAAGGCGGUGGAGUUAAUAACUUCACCGAUUGACGUUACCCGCAGAAGAAGCACCGGCUAACUCCGUGCCAGCAGCCGCCGUAA
rnacentral:rRNA from 1 species